ACCAUUUUUCUCCCCUCUUAUUUUCCUUCACUCACCAAAAUAAUUAAACCCUUCUAAUUUCAACCCUAAAUUUUCUUCCCUCUUUUCUAACCUUUCCCUCCUGCAAAAAAACCCUAAUCGUUCUCCCUUCUUCAAUCCCUUUCACCAUCGUUAACCCUCCUUCACCCUUGUUUUGUUCGUUCUCUUUCUCUCUCAGUCACGAAACAAUACACUCGUCCGUUCUCUUUCAUCAGAGUUCACCGUCCUUCUUACGAAGCCUCAACGUCUCUUUCAUUCGCAACCAAUGGUUGUUCUCACGGUCAAUGUUUUUUUAUUUAUUUUUGUUUAUGUUUUAUUGUCUUCUUUAUUGUGGAAAUUCUAUUGACGAAUUUUAUUGUGAUUUGGGGCAAUUUUAGGGUUUUAUUUUCUUGUGGUUUGGGGGAAAACUGUGUCACUAGUCAAAAUCUCACAUAGAGGUUUCCAUUUAUAAUAACGAGGAGGUGUAGGAGGACUAUGCUUCUUGUGGUUUGGUUAGUUUCAAUUUUAGUUAUUAUAUUCACCAUUGAUAAUUUAGGUUCCCUUUCUGAUUGAUUUCACAGUUUAAUUUGGUUGUUCGAAAAAGAUGAUGAUAACAAUCUUCUAUAUUUUGGUGUAUACAAGUGAUAUCACUUCAUUGGUUCCGUCGGAGUGGCCUACAUCAUUCCAAUCAACAAAUGUCGCGAGUUCGAAAUGAAUCAAUCAUCCAACAGCAACAGUAGAAGCAUAGAGUCAAGGUACACCUUCAGCAUAUUGAAUGUCUUGGAUUACAUGAUUUCAUUUUUUCAUAUUGCAGUACCAGAUGGUAUUCUUAACAUGGGACAAGAAAUAAAUGACUAGACAUGGUGUGGUGCAAGCAAUACUCAAAGGUGUUUCAUGCUUAAGGUAACCAUCAACUUUUCAAACAAUAUAUGCUUAGUGCUUCCGUAGAAUUAUAUAAAUGGAUUGUUGUUAGUGUCAUUCAUUUUUUGGUGAGGUUUGCUUUAGUUCUUGAUUGAACCGUCUUAACAAAAAAGGAAUUAACUUUUUCAUAUUCAUAUUGAGUAAAAAGGUCUGUGUGAGUGAUCAACAUGAUUGAGAUUACAUGCUUUGGUUUUGUGUAUCAAAGAUUUGUUAUGCCCUAUAAGUACACACACAAUUGAUAUAAGUCUGCAUAAAUAUGAUUAUGUAAUUGGUUUUAUCACUCUUACCACUCAUGACAAAGUUAUAUUUAUUGAGUUAUGUAUCUAGUUUGUUGAAUCAUGGUAAUUGAACUUUAUAAAUGUGAAUGCAGAGAAUCAAAUUCGAAAGUUUAAAUGUAAAUGUUUGGUACACAAAAAUUAAAUACACAUGGAUUGAAAUAAUAAGAGUUUUUUAUUCAUAUUUAUAUUGGACUAGUAAAGGUGACACACUGUAAUUAGGCACAACCUGCUGAUACAAGCUUGUUACAUAUGCAAUUUUAGGUACAUAUGCAUACAGAAAUGGUGUUACAAGCUUGUUAUAUAUGCAUUUUAGGUACAUAUGCAUAUGGUGAUACAAGCUUUUUUCAUAUUCAUAUUGCCGAAAUUGAACUCUGAUUAGACAAAUUACCUUAAUAAAAAUGGAAACUGAAGUUAGAGAGUCAAUAUAUAAUCGUGGUUCUGAAAACAAUGAACCAAACUUCUCUUAUUCAUGUUAUAAAUAAAGGUCUGAAGAGUUGGGUAGAGAUCCCACAUUCGACGAGGUCUUCGUCUAAACACACACCAAAAUGAAGGACUCCGCUUGAGUCGAUCAUAGAUCGAAAAAUACUUGUGUAAGGAAAAUUAGAGCAUUGAUUCUUUAAUUUUAUUUUGUUGUAAAUUAGUAAUGUGACAUUUAUAAGUUCAUUAUGGGUAUCCAGUCAUGAAAAUCAAGGACACAGUCAAGCUUAAGUAGGUUCCAUUCUCAGCUCAAUCAUUAUGUUGUUAUAUUGUACGCUAUUAUCAUUUAUAAUUUACAUCAUUCUUAUCGAUGUCAUUUACAAGACAUGAUUUGUGUCACUGUUGGGACUACCUCGCAUAUCCGAGUUUCUAACAAUGGUUGGUACUUUCCUGGUUGCACUGAUUGUAUUAAACAAUGCUACUGCUUGGCACCGCCAUUCAAGUGUAGAGAUGGACAUUCAACUGAUGUUUCCAGUUAUAAGGUAUAGGAUUGAUGUUGAGGUCUGCGAUGACAAUGAUUCAACCAAGUUUAUCUUUUGGGAUAAUACUUGUAUUGAUCUGUUGGGUGUCACAUCCUCUGACCUUAAAAAAAUGAUUGAGGAGUAAUUGAUCCUUGUGUGACUACCCAUUCAAUUUUGAUGGGAUGGAAAUUUGUGUUCCGUUUCAAUUGGCAAUUCGACUGGAAGCAAUGUUCUGUUUUAGCUUGCUUGGAUAGCAAAAUCAUGGUUGACACUAUAGAAGGAGAAUUGCAACAUGAUCAGCUCAAGCCUACUAAUACUGGAUCUGUCACAAUGAAGGACACCCAAGACUCACUUGAUGAAAUUGAAAGUCAUGCUCCUGUUGAAAACCUUUUGGCUCCUAUUGCAUCCAUUACUGUAACUACUACCUGCUUUAGUCUCUUAAAUUUAAAUUGCUAUAAUAAUCACAUUAUUUCCUAACUAUAUUUAAAUUGCUAUAAGAAUUAUAAGAUAGGUUAGUUGGUUUUUGUUGAAGUAGUUGCUUAAGCUUUCUUCAUACAUUUAUGUGAGCUAAGUUAUUGUGUAGAGACAAAUGAUUGUAUUAGCUUUGACAUUUACACUAUGUUGUUAAUACAUUGGCUUUUAUGGUAGAUUUGAUGUGACGAUAUUUGUGA